CUAAGGAAGCGAAGGAUAUGGAGAGUAGAAAUACUAAGAGAAGUAUCCAGAGCAAGCGGAAGCACACUAAGAAACUUUGUUUAGUUUUGAGGGUAGUACCUCAAAAGAGUUAGUACAUUGAAAACUGAAUAUAAUCCAAGCAAAAAACCGAGACAAUCAAAGAGAACAGAUUGUAGAGCGACCGAGAAGAGAAUUCUUGGGUAAGGU
rnacentral:misc_RNA from 5 species